rfam:[Bacillus] aminovorans strain DSM 1314 DSM1314_contig_13, whole genome shotgun sequence.
AAAAGAAAGCAGAAGCGCCCGCUUCUCACCUCGUCUGACAAAUUUGUUGGCAGGUUGACAUGGUAAAUGACAAAGCUAUUUAAAAGCUUUUUACUGGCGGGGCAUCUACUUCAGAUGCCUCGUCUUUUUCAUGCA